UUGAUUGAUUUGUUUUUUUCUCAGACUGCAAUACUAUACAGAGUUUGGGUCUCCGACGGACGGAGGGGGGCCACCUUUUACAAAGUAAGAGGCCGCCCACCCCGCACGGAUCACCACUUUACAGUGACAACCCCAUCCGUCAAAGCAACGGGUUCAAUACAAGGGUGGAGACCGUGAAUAAUCACAGAACUCGGUAAUGAUCCUUCCGCAGGUUCACCUACGGAAA
rnacentral:misc_RNA from 1 species